AAAAAAAAAAGAAAAGAAAAAAGCAAGGAAGAAAAAGAGAAAAAUAGAGUAAAAAAACAACACCCGAGAGAUGGAGAGGAGGUGAUAUUUGAGAGAGUAUUUAAGGGAAAAAAGUGUGGAAUGAGGAGCGUGUUGUGGAAGGGAGGCGCGGAGCGGAGGGGUCCCGGCGGGCGCUCGGGGGGCACAGAGGAUGCUCUCCGUUGUCAUCCUCCCUUCGGUGCUUCUGAAUACCGAUGUCAGGCAGCACCCUGUGGGCGGGGACCACCCCCAGCUCCCUUUGCUAUAAAGCACUGCGGGUUCCCCCAUUGCGGGGAGCGCAGCGGGACGGGGCGGCGGGCAGCACCCCGAAUCGGGCCGGGCUUCCAGGUGCGGGCCGAAGGUGCGGACGGCGGAGGAGAAAGGAGGAGAAAGAAGAAGGAGGAGGAGGAGGAGGAGGAGGAGGAUGAGGCCGAGGAGAGCGGCGUGACCGAGCGGCGGGCUGCGGGCCAAGGCUCGCACGCUCCAACGCCGCGUCCGCCCGGCCCGCC
rnacentral:lncRNA from 1 species